UCCACUGUGUAUAUUUUUUAUUGAACUGGUGGGCAAAUACCUAAAUGACGUGCAAAAAUAAAUCCUGUUUUGCCACCCAGACUUGCUCAUUGUUCAGCAUGAACUUUGACACAUAUGAGAAGGAAUAGG
ensembl:snoRNA